GAUGAACGCUGGCGGCGUGCCUAAUACAUGCAAGUCGAGCGAACAGACGAGGCGCUUGCUCCUCUGACGUUAGCGGCGGACGGGUGUGUAACACGUGGAUAACCCCCCUAUAAUACUGGGAUCACUUCGGGAAUCCGGCGCUAAUACCGGAUAAUCUACUGCACCACAUGGUUCAAUAGUGAAAGUCGGUUUUGCUGUCACUUCUAGAUGGAUCCGCGCCGCAUUAGCUAGUUGUGAAGGUACCGGCUUUUCAAGGCAACGCUGCGUAGCCGACCGGAGUGGGUGAUCGCCCACACGGGAACGUGACCGCGCUCCAUACUCCUAAGGUAGGCAGCAGAAGGGAACCUUCGACAAUGGUCGAGAGCCUGACAGAACAACGCCGCGUGAGUGGUAAAGACCUUGGGAGCGUAAAACUCUGUUAUUAGGGAAGAACAAAUGUGUAAGUAACUAUGCACGUCUUGACGGUACCUAGUCAGAAAGCCACGGCUAACUACGUG
rnacentral:rRNA from 1 species